ensembl:lncRNA
AGCCGCCAUGUUUACAGACCUCUCCGUGCCAGUGCGCCGCCGAUCGUGCAAGAAGGGGACCAUUUGUCAAACGGAACAAAAGCUGAUUCUUGUAGGCUACUCAUUAAAAUUUGGUUUUGGUCACAAUUCAUCAGCACAAAUGGGAAUGCGUGGAAAAAAGAAUGGAUGCACUCGAAAUGCAAAAUGAAUCCGAGCAAUGUUUCCUGUUGCAGAGCGUCCGAGGUCCCUCGCAGCGGCUAAUAGUGCGUUCAUGAAAGGAACGGCCUUAAGUUGAUACAUGAGCUACUCGUGCUUUCAUGCCUUUACUCUCGGGAAAACAAAGGGACAUAUUCAUACUGGGACGCGUGUCGCUGCACAGCCUUGACGAAAUCGUCCAUAAAUCCCCCCCAAAACGUGCUUGUUUGAGUGAUAACGUGCAGAUUCCAGUGGGCUCAGCAAAUGGGGGAGUGUAAUUCUCUUUAACGCUGUUUUUUUACUACACGCGUCACACGAUUACAUCUCGGCUCAUAAAGACAUGACCAUCAUGGUCUGAAAAACAUCAGACAUCCCACGGUAACGGCGUCUGUUCAGAGUGUAAGCCGUAAGUCUUUAACUCACCCCAGAUUUAAAUGAUUAGUCCAAUGUUUUCAAAAUGUUCAAAAAUCAUCCAGGCUUUGCAGAAAAUGAAUGGUG